GACGAACGCUGGCGGCGUGCUUAACACAUGCAAGUCGAACGGAAAGGCCCUGCUUUUGUGGGGUGCUCGAGUGGACAACGGGUGAGUAACCCGUGAGUAACCUGCACUUGACUGUGGGAUGACUUCAGGCAACUGGGGCUAAUACCGGAUAGGAGCUAUUGCUGCUUGGUGGGGGUUGGAAAGUUUCGGCAGUUGGGGAUGGACUCGCGGCUUAUCAGCUUGGUGGAGGGGUAGUGGCUUAGCAAGGCCUGGAAGGGUAGCCGGCCUGAGCGGGGGACCGGCCAAACUGGGACUGAGAUACGGCCCAGACUCCUACGGGAGGCAGCAGUGGGGAAUAUUGCACAAUGGGCGGAAGCCUGAUGCAGCAACGCCGCGUGCGGGAUGACGGCCUUCGGGUUGUAAACCGCUUUCGCCUGUGACGAAGCGUGAGUGACGGUAAUGGGUAAAUAAGCACCGGCUAACUACGUG
rnacentral:rRNA from 1 species